rnacentral:rRNA from 1 species
AUUGAACGCUGGCGGCAGGCCUAACACAUGCAAGUCGAACGAGUGGCGGACGGGUGAGUAAUGUCUGGGGAACUGCCUGAUGGAGGGGGAUAACUACUGGAAACGGUAGCUAAUACCGCAUACCAUCAGAUGUGCCCAUAUGGGAUUAGCUUGUUGGUAGGGUAACGGCUUACCAAGGCGACGAUCCCUAGCUGGUCUGAGAGGAUGACCAGCCACACUGGGACUGAGACACGGUCCAGACUCCUACGGGAGGCAGCAGUGGGGAAUAUUGCACAAGGGGCGCAAGCCUGAUGCAGCCAUGCCGCGUGUAUGAAGAAGGCCUUCGGGUUGUAAAGUACUUUCAGCGGGGAGGCGUUACCCACAGAAGAAGCACCGGCUAACUCCGUGCCAGCAGCCGCGGUAAUAC